rnacentral:lncRNA from 10 species
GCCUUAGACUAGUUAGAGUAAAAGUCAGAAUUCAACCCAUUCGUCUCCCGAUAACCAUGACACAUGUAAUUACAGAGAAAUACGAGUGAAGUAUAUUAUAUUUUAUUUCUUAAGAAUCCUCAUAAUGAUAUUAAUCAAAUAUUAUGUUUAUACUAAAGUUCUCAAUAAAAAUAUUACACCAUAUCAUAUAAGGACAAUUUUAAACUAUCUGUAAUUUUAUUUCAUAUGAAUAACACUUUCAGAAUCAUUUUGCUACAACUAAAUGAGCUACUUGUCCAUUUUAAUCGAAUUUUUCACAAAGGCCAUGAAUUUCUGAAAAGAUGAUUACUUAAUUUUGAAUAUUAUCCCCCAAAUAAGUGAGAAUUACCUAAUACUACACAUUCAUUCAAUUUAUUUAUACUUUACACAAGAGAGUAAUAACUGAGAUUCCCGAACAGCACUUAGAUGUUCCAGGGCACCACAGCAAACUCUCAGGGACACCGUCAGAUAUUUUAAAUUUUCAAGGGAAACAAAGUUAUAUUAACAGGGUGAUUAAAUCAAAAUGCAUUUUAUAGGGAGAAUUAUAUUAAUUUGUCAAAUUACAGAGACAGCCUAUCAUCUUUUAUUUUUAAGAAGUGUUCUGCUCCCACUUAUGAGUGAGAAUAUGCAGUGUUUGGUUUUCUAGUCCUGUGUUAAGUUUUCUGAGGAUGAUGGUUUCCAGCUUCAUCCAUGUCCCUUGGAGAAUAUAUUUUUAAACUUAGGGCCAAAAAGGAACUGUCAGGACAACUAUGCCCAGUGUGGAAUUUUUCUCUUGGAUUUUACUUUUACGUAGUGUUUUUGUUAGAAAUAAAUCCCUAUUUUACCCCUCCUCCUUAAAUUAGGGAAAGCACUCUAAGUCUGUGAAUUCCAACACUAAAACUACAUAGGUUAUUAAAUCUGAUCAAGUUAUUUUUCACUAUCAAGAAUUUAAAAUAAAUUUAUAUUAUUAGAAUAUUAAAAUAACUGCCAUGAAGCAAAUACAUUCUGCCAUAAAAAGAACUAUGUUAUAAAAUAUAAAUUUCAGAAAUUUCAGUUCUAUGUGCAUAAGUCUUAGGUGAUGAAACCUAUGCAAUCACUUUAGUUUGAUCCAAUGUCAAUGAAAAAGACUAGAUUGGAAGCAGUGCAGAGUGACAUUACCAAAAAAAAAAAAAUCAGAAGACUAUGCAUCUGCAGAUUCAACCAACUGUGGAUUAAAAAUAUUUGGAAAAAAUACAAAUAAUACAUAUAAAAAACCAAUAUACUAUAACAACUAUUAAUAGAGCAUUUACACUGUAUUAGAUAGUAUAAGAAAUCUAGAGAUGAUCUAAAAUAUAUGGCAGGAUGUGCAUAGUUACAUGCAAAACAGAAGUCCCAUUUUAUAUAAAGGACUUAAGCAUCUGUGGAAUUUUGGUAUCCAUGGGGAUCCCAAACCAAUAGGAUUAUAUAUACACACAUAUAUUCCAUGUAUUUAUGUACUUACAUAUAUUAUAAAAAUAUAUAUGUAUCUAAAUAUUUUGUGUAUGUAUAUAUUUAUAUAUAUUAUCUAUAUUUACAACAAGACAAGUGGUGUGCUUGGCAAAUAAAAGGCAAAAUACAUUUAUUCUCAUUAGUUUAAGAAAGAGAAGUAUUUUAAAAAAUCAAAGUGUAUAUAUAAGAAUAUGGGUUUCCAAGGGUUGUUUUUUUUUUUUUUUUUUUUCAAAAAUUCUAUUAAAAACUGUCUUCAAAGUUAUGCCCCAGCCAGGCAUGGUGGCUCACACCUGUAAUCCCAGCACUUUAGGAGGCCAAGGCAGGCGGAUUGCUUGAGCCAAGGAGUUCGAGACCAGCCUGGGCAACAUGGUGAAACCCUGUUUCUAAAAAAUAUAUAAAAAUUAGCCAGGCAUGGUGGCAUGCACCUAUAGUCCCAGCUGCUCAAGAUGUUGAGGUGGAAGGAUUGCUUCAGCCCUGGAGGUGAUCGCACUACUUGACUCCACUUCACUAGGUGACAGGGACCCUCUCUCUUAAAAAAAGUUGUGUCCCCAGGUUAACACUAGCUUUUAAGCAGAGAUUUGAAUAGAAAUUACCCAGCUCUAUCUAAGAAAAAGACAUUUGGGAAGACUACCACUCUUUUCCCUUGAUGACCAUAUAACGUCCUACCCCCUUCAGACUAAAUAUAUCUCCGCUUCAUUCACUCCUAUACUAACUAGUAAUAUUUUCUAGAUCAAAGGAAAUAGAUCAUAAAAUAGAACACUCCCCAUAAUAUUUGCUUACAUUUCUAGAUACUAAUGUAUUUUUAAAUGAAUAUCAAGCAAUCAUUUAAAUCAAGAUAAGUAGACUUAAGAUAAGUAGGAAAAUGCUUCAAGUUUUAGAAAAAGUUUUACAGCAGUUGACUAAUGAUCAGUUACCAUGACUCCAACCCACAGUUAUGUGCUAUCGAGAGUAAAGGAAAUACAAUUCCUAAUUUUCAAAACUAGGGAGACUUGAGAUCAUUAGAAAAUAGAUGUGUGCAACCCAAUAAAUAU